UGGGGAAUAUUGGACAAUGGGCGCAAGCCUGAUCCAGCCAUGCCGCGUGGAUGAAGAAGGCCCUAGGGUUGUAAAGUCCUUUCGACGGAGACGAUAAUGACGGUAUCCGUAGAAGAAGCCCCGGCUAAUUUCGUGCCAGCAGCCGCGGUAAUACGAAAGGGGCUAGCGUUGUUCGGAAUUACUGGGCGUAAAGCGUGCGCAGGCGGUUUGUUAAGACAGGUGUGAAAUCCCCGGGCUUAACCUGGGAAUUGCGCUUGUAACUGGCAGGCUAGAGUGUGGCAGAGGGGGGUGGAAUUCCACGUGUAGCAGUGAAAUGCGUAGAUAUGUGGAGGAACACCGAUGGCGAAGGCAGCCCCCUGGGUUAACACUGACGCUCAUGCACGAAAGCGUGGGGAGCAAACAGGAUUAGAUACCCAGGUAGUCCCUGAGCGGGCUGGCAAGGCGCAU
rnacentral:rRNA from 1 species